UAAUACUGAAGAAAUUAACGCUGAAGGAAUAAAUAAUGAAGAAAUGAGAAUUUCAAGUGCCCAACAUGUGAUAACUGUGCAAUGUCUAUUGUUCCUGGUCGACACAUGGGAUUUUCUACUGAACUACAAAUGCAGUGCUCCUCAUGUUAUGAGACAGCUGAGAAAUCGUAUAGCUCUCCAAGGUGCAGAGAAAAAGAUGAAACUGGAGAAUUUGAGCCAUCAGAGCACUCCUAUUUCGAAAUAAACAGCCUUUUAGUGUUCCUUUUUUUAUGAACUAGGUUUAGGCUACGCGGGCCUUCAGAAGUUUGCUGCAAUUUUAGGUACAUAGUGUAUGUCCGAGUCAACGUAUUGGGAAAUUUCUAACGCGAGUCGUAAAUGUGUACUCGAACAAUGUCAGGAAUCCAUUAGGACGGCUACAACGAUUGUGAAAAAACUGUACGAGAAUUUAGGGAAUGCUGCUGAUGAUAACAUUUCUGAUAUUGACGUGUCUUAUGAUUUCUCGUGGCACAGGCGUGGAUAUUCAUCUCAAAAUGGUCUUGGUCUGGUGAUUGAUUUAUUGAGUGGAUUGUGUUUAGGUUAUGGGGUGAAGAGCAACUUUUGUUUAGAAUGUACUUGGAAGGAAUCUGAUGAUGAUGAAUACGACAUUCAUGAAUUAUUAACACCCCCAGGAAUAUCAAAAACAUUAGAGUUCUACUGACAACCACAGCUGGCUUGAUUUCUUUUGCGACAACGCAAGAGACAUAUGUUAUACUCAAAUGUAUAAUGGACAUCAUGAACGACGCUGAUAAGCUACUAGACGGCGUGUGUGAAAGAGCCAGCCACUGUGUUGGUUCAAACGGAUAGAGAGGAAAAAGAUCGAGUCUACAAUAAUAAUUAACCGAAAUGUAGAUAUGUCUAGGAAAAAGUAAUACCUCCCCUCCCCAAAAGAAGUUUUUAUGUAAAAAUUAAACGAAAUGUAGAUAUUUCUAGGCAAAGUAAUU